rnacentral:rRNA from 1 species
AGAGUUUGAUCCUGGCUCAGGAUGAACGCUGGCGGUAUGCUUAACACAUGCAAGUCGAACGAANUCUUUCGGGAUUUAGUGGCGGACGGGUGAGUAACGCGUGAGAAUCUGGCUUCAGGUUUGGGACAACCACUGGAAACGGUGGCUAAUACCGGAUGUGCCGCAAGGUGAAAGGCUUGCCGCCUGAAGAUGAGCUCGCGUCUGAUUAGCUAGUAGGUGGGGUAAAAGCCUACCUAGGCGACGAUCAGUAGCUGGUCUGAGAGGAUGAUCAGCCACACUGGGACUGAGACACGGCCCAGACUCCUACGGGAGGCAGCAGUGGGGAAUUUUCCGCAAUGGGCGAAAGCCUGACGGAGCAAUACCGCGUGAGGGAGGAAGGCUCUUGGGUUGUAAACCUCUUUUCUCAGGGAAGAAAAAAAUGACGGUACCUGAGGAAUAAGCAUCGGCUAACUCCGUGCCAGCAGCCGCGGUAAUACGGAGGAUGCAAGCGUUAUCCGGAAUGAUUGGGCGUAAAGCGUCCGCAGGUGGCUGUGUGUGUCUGCUGUUAAAGAGUCAUGCUUAACAUGAUAAAGGCAGUGGAAACUACACGGCUAGAGUGCGUUCGGGGCAGAGGGAAUUCCUGGUGCAGCGGUGAAAUGCGUAGAGAUCAGGAAGAACAUCGGUGGCGAAGGCGCUUUGCUGGACCAUAACUGACAUUCAGGGACGAAAGCUAGGGGAGCGAAUGGGAUUAGAUACCCCAGUAGU